CAACUAAUUAGAUCACAGCGGGGGAAUUCAAGAGUUAAGUGAUACAAGAUGAUGAAACAAUAUUAGAAUAAUUGGGAUUCCAGAAGAAGA